rnacentral:lncRNA from 1 species
UACUUAGGGAGUCACAUUAGUGCAGUUGCCUGAAAGUAACUCUAACCCAUUCUCUUUUGCAGGUAGUUGGUUUCAUCGGCUUAGCUGCCCUUCAUCUUCACUAUCACCCCAGGGAAGGGACUUCUCUUUAGUCCCUUCUCUCUGAAACUGACAGUACUGAAUGGAUCUACUGCUGAAACAACAGAGAAGCCUCACUGGAUUGAAAAGGCCACCCUGCGAGGUCUGCCCGGCAACUGCAGGCAGAUUUUGCCACUGAACUCAGCCACGUGGGACUGAAGAAUCCCAGGUGAACUGCAAGCAUCAGGCCCAGGCACUGACUCCCUUGAGGUGCAUCGGGUUACAUAUUUAGAAAACGGGCAGGGCCAGCAGGGAGAACGAUCUGGUCAGGCUUAGCCCCGCUCUGCUGCUGAGGGCUGAGCCCCCAGAACAGGCUGU